rnacentral:rRNA from 1 species
GAGCAUGUGGUGGAUGCCUUGGCGAUGAUAGGCGACGAAGGACGUGAUAGCCUGCGAUAAGCUUCGGGGAGCUGGCAAAUUAGCUUUGAUCCGGAGAUUUCCGAAUGGGGAAACCCACCGAAAGGUAUCCUGUGGUGAAUACAUAGCUGCAGGAGGCGAACCGGGUGAACUGAAACAUCUCAGUAGCUCGAGGAAAAGACAUCAACCGAGAUUCCGAAAGUAGUGGCGAGCGAAAUCGGAGGAGCCUUCUAGUGAUAGCACGACUGUUAGCAAAACGGGUUGGAAAACCCGGCCACAGCAGGUGAUAGCCCUGUAUGCGAAAACCGACGUGUGGUACUAGGCUAGAGAAAAGUAGGGCGGGACACGUGUAAUCCUGUCUGAACAGUGGGGGGACCAUCCUCCAAGGCUAAAUACUCAUCAUCGACCGAUAGUGAACUAGUACCGUGAGGGAAAGGCGAAAAGAACCCCGGGAGGGGAGUGAAAUAGAUCCUGAAACCGCAUGCUUACAAAAGUCGAGCCUU